rnacentral:rRNA from 1 species
GUCCACGCCCUAAACGAUGCGCACUAGAUUCGGGAGGCUCUGACGCCGUCCGGGUCGAAGCAAAAGUGGUAAGUGCGCCGCCUGGGGAGUACGGUCGCAAGGCUAAAACUCAAAGGAAUUGACGGGGGCUCACACAAGCGGUGGAGCAUGUGGCUCAAUUCGAAGCAACGCGAAGAACCUUAUCCUGGGCUUGACAUACACGGAUUAGUUGGAUGAAAGUUCAAUGACACCCGCAAGGGUGGAACGUGAACAGGUGCUGCAUGGCUGUCGU